UGUAAGCCCUACUAAAUCUGAUUCCUCAGG
rnacentral:piRNA from 1 species